GACGAACGCUGGCGGCGUGCCUAAUACAUGCAAGUUGAGCGAUGAAGAUUGGUGCUUGCACCAAUUUGAAGAGCAGCGAACGGGUGAGUAACGCGUGGGGAAUCUGCCUUUGAGCGGGGGACAACAUUUGGAAACGAAUGCUAAUACCGCAUAACAACUUUAAACAUAAGUUUUAAGUUUGAAAGAUGCAAUUGCAUCACUCAAAGAUGAUCCCGCGUUGUAUUAGCUAGUUGGUGAGGUAAAGGCUCACCAAGGCGAUGAUACAUAGCCGACCAGAGAGGGUGAUCGGCAACAUUGAGACUGAGACACGGCCCAAACUCCUACGGGAGGCAGCAGUAGGGAAUCUUAGGCAAUGGACGAAAGUCUGGCCGAGCAACGCCGCGUGAGUGAAGAAGGUUUUCGGAUCGUAAAACUCUGUCGGUAGAGAAGAACGUUGGUGAGAGUGGAAAGCUCAUCAAGUGACGGUAACUAACCAGAAAGGGACGGCUAACUACGUG
rnacentral:rRNA from 1 species